rnacentral:rRNA from 1 species
AAGUGGCGCACGGGUGAGUAACACGUGGAUAACCUGCCCCAAAGUCUGGGAUAACGCGCCGAAAGGUGCGCUAAUACCGGGUACCUUUAUGCCUCACAAGAGGUAUAAAGAAAGGAGGCCUCUGCUUGCAAGCUUCUGCUUUGGGAUGGAUCCGCGGCCUAUCAGGUAGUUGGUAGGGUAAUGGCCUACCAAGCCUACGACGGGUAGCUGGUCUGAGAGGACGAUCAGCCACAUUGGGACUGAGACACGGCCCAGACUCCUACGGGAGGCAGCAGUGGGGAAUAUUGGGCAAUGGGAGAAAUCCUGACCCAGCAACGCCGCGUGGAGGAUUAAGGCCUUCGGGUUGUAAACUCCUGUCAGCAGGGAAAAAGGUUAUAAGAGCUAAUACCUUUUAUAGCUUGAUGGUACCUGCAGAGGAAGCACCGGCUAACUACGUGCCAGCAGCCGCGGUAAUACGUAGGGUGCAAGCGUUAUUCGGAAUCACUGGGCGUAAAGGGCGCGCAGGCGGUCUUGUAAGUCUAAAGUGAAAUCCUUGGGCUUAACCCAUGGGCUGCUUUAGAUACUGCAAAACUCGAGUUCGGGAAAAGCAAGCGGAAUUCCUGGUGAAGGGGUGAAAUCCGUAGAUAUCAGGAAGAACACCAGUGGCGAAAGCGGCUUGCUAGAACGCAACUGACGCUUAAGGCGCGAAAGCGUGGGGAGCAAACAGGAUUAGAUACCC